UUGCUUUGGCAGCAUACAUACUAAAACUGGAAAGAUACAGAGAAGAUUAGCUUGACUCCUGCACAAGGAUGACACGCAAAUUCAUGAAGCAUUCCACGUUAAA
ensembl:snRNA U6 U6 spliceosomal RNA